GAAAGUGGUUUGAAGACUAAGAAUAUGACAGGUGCUUGUCAAAUCUUGUCAUCCAGCGUUAAACAUGUCUCUACCCCCUCCUCCACCGGACCAGAGAACAAGCUGUCAAUCUUGGUCCUUCUUGCCAACAAACGGACUGUGGAGUGCAAGAGAAGCAGCUACAUUAUUCAAGGGACGGAGAUGAGGAGACGUGCAGCUUCUGGCCACCAUGCCAACUUGAUCUCCUGCUUGACCAUCAAUAGGUGCCCUGGAUACACUGGCGGUAAAGGAUCCCCUACACCUCUCUGCAUGGACACCAAAAACCCUUUAAAUUUAUUAACCCACAGCUGGUCUUAGAUAAUCCAGCCAUUGUUUCCAUGCUGGGAAAAGGUAGCAUAUUAUUGCCAAGGGUAAAGAGAACAGAACAAAGAUGGACAACGGUGAUGACACCACUGACUUCCAAUAAAUCAUUGCCAUUUAUAAAGAAGCAUGCCUGAGUCAUACAGCCAUGCCAGAUCAGACAGGGCCAGAAGCUCACUGAUAUCAAUGCAAUGCAUCAUGGGAAUGGCCACCUUCUGGUGACACCCAACCGCAGGCAGGUAGAGGACCACCCAAUAGAGAAUACAUUGUAAUUCUGACACAAAAUUUGUUAAAUAAGGAAAUAAUUUAUUUAUAUUAUGCAAUAAAUAUGAGUUUGUCCAA